GCUCUGGUAUGAUUUCAUUGGCCGUCCUGACUGUGGAAAGGCUGUUACACACAUGCACCAUCCGGUUUGCUCAAUUCAACCUCUGGGUGUUUUACAUAGGGGGAAGUGUCUGAGGGAAAACGUUUAUCAAACAUGAUGCAUUGGCAGGUUAAAUAGAAAAGAUGGAGUGACUAUUCAAAACCAUGGAAGAGAUUAUUUCAAAUGAGUACAUGUGUUUGUUUUUUUGGCAUUGAGUGCACAAACUGACCGCCCGUGCGUCACACCUGGGAGCUGAGCUGAAGCCCAUGAUUUGAUCCGCGAGCCAUUAGACGCCAGAACGAGCAGACCAUGGGCUAAUAGAAUAGUGUCACAUGAAGUUUCGAUUACAAGCCAGACCAAGGGACUCACUAACUGUUCACUACAGGUCUUAAAGGGAUCGAGACACAUGGAAAACAUCAGGUUGGGUCACCACAGCAACCUUGGAUGGAGGCGAAAUAAGAGGAGAGGGCGAUCGCUCAUUAUGGAAUUAAUGGACAUUGUUGGCAGAGAUGGCUGAUUACUACCUGGACAGAAUGCAUUCGAAUACUACCGCUACUAGAACUGCCUCUACAUAUGAGAUAGACAAGACGAGACCAGAGCAUGGGCUAUCAAAAGAUGAUGAAGGCCUCCGAAAUUCUAAACUGACAUAGUUUCAUGGGUUUGUGUUGCAAAAGUUCAGGAAUUCAUUAGAAACACUCAAUAUGAAGUGAUCACAUACUCAUGUAUUCCUUUAAUAAUAUUUUGGCCUUGUGUGAUUCUGUGAUUAAAUCUAUUCUGUAUUCUUGAUUAAGUCUUCUAAUAAGCGUAAUUUGGCUACAUCAGUGUAUUGUUUGUAAGGCAUGUUACCCAGAUAUUAAUCCUAAUUGGAUCAAUGCAAUUGUUUUAAUUGGCUUGAUAAUGUUUGCAUAUGACGUUGGAGAGCCUUCUUAGGUAUUUGUGUUGUAAUGUUUCUACUACAGGUUUUAUAAUCUGUGACGCCGUUGGCAUUCCAUUGUUGGUUUUUGGCAGUGUGGCAUGGCCGGGUUUGAGUGGUGUUCUCUCGGUCUGCUAUCAAUUUACUGGAACACUUAAAACUCCAAAGAAGGCUAC